UCUCCGUAGGUGAACCUGCGGAGGGAUCAUUACAGAGCUCUCGCCCUAGCGGGUAGAUCUCCCACCCACUGUUAUCGUUACUGUGUUGCUUUGGCGGGCCGCCGGGCCCCGCUCGGCCGCCGGCUCCGGCUGGCUCGCGCCCGCCAGAGGCCCAGCAAACUCUGAAUGUUAGUGUCGUCUGAGUACUAUAUAAUAGUUAAAACUUUCAACAACGGAUCUCUUGGUUCUG
rnacentral:misc_RNA from 1 species